GGGGAAUCUUCCGCAAUGGGCGCAAGUCUGACGGAGCAACGCCGCGUGCAGGAGGACGCUUUUCGGAGUGUAAACUGCUUUUCUGUGGGACGAGCGAGGACGGUACCACAGGAAGAAGCCCCGGCUAACUACGUGCCAGCAGCCGCGGUAAUACGUAGGGGGCGAGCGUUGUCCGGAGUUACUGGGCGUAAAGGGCAUGCAGGCGGUCGGACGCGUUUCCAGUGACAGCGGGUGGCUUACCUGCCCGAGUAUUGGAAAGACGGUUUGACUUGAGGACUCGAGAGGGACACGGAAUUCCGGGUGGAGUGGUGAAAUGCGUAGAGAUCCGGAGGAACAUCGAAGGCGAAGGCAGUGUCCUGGCGAGUAACUGACGCUGAGGUGCGAAAGCUAGGGGAGCGAAAGGGAUUAGAUACCCCUGUAGUC
rnacentral:rRNA from 1 species